rnacentral:rRNA from 1 species
AACGAACGCUGGCGGCAGGCCUAACACAUGCAAGUCGAACGCUCCGCAAGGGGAGUGGCGCACGGGUGAGUAACACGUGGGAACCUACCUUCUGGUACGGAACAACCAAGGGAAACUUUGGCUAAGACCGUAUACGACCUCCGGGUGAAAGAUUGAUCGCCGGAAGAGGGGCCCGCGUCCGAUUAGAUAGUUGGUGAGGUAACGGCUCACCAAGCCUUCGAUCGGUAGCUGGUCUGAGAGGAUGACCAGCCACACU